rnacentral:misc_RNA from 1 species
GUGGAACCAAAGACCGGAAAGGACGCCAUGUUGUUAUACGCCGACUUUCUUUCGCUUGCUGAUGCGGUGUAAUUCGCUGGUCAGCUAGUCGAAGUCGCUGAGUGUAAAGUAUUAUUUUAGUUAAAUUGGAUUAUUUUGAACAGCAAAAAAUACAUCUACCACCUUACGUCGGUAAAUAGAAUGCAAAUGCAAGCCAUGAAUCAAUUUGGCAAUCAUAGAGGUUUUGGUGGCCCUCCGCAGCCACAAAGACAGGGUCGUCGUGGCAAUAAUCGAGGUGGCUUCCGCAAUUCAAGAUUUGAUCAUAAUGUUCAAAGGAAUCAGAAUCACGGUCAAGGAGGUCAACGGCCUAAUGAGGCAAAGCCACCUCAGCUCAAUGACAAGCCCCAACAACAACCUCCUCAACAACAAAACCAGGCUCAGGCCAAGCCUCAGCCACAACAACAGGCUAAACCUGAAGCUCAGCAGGCUCCACAACAGCAAGCUCAGCAACCAAAGCCACAGCCUGCACCUCAGCCCCAGCAGAAACCUCAACAGCAACCGCCGCAACAACAACAGCAGAAGCCUGCUCCUGUUGUACAAGCUAAGAAUGACUCCCAGGACCAUGUUGAUAAGUCAAUCAAUGUUGAGCAGAAGAAUGUGAAUCAGCACUCUAACCAAAACCAAAACCCCAAUCAAAAUCAGCAGCAAAGGAAUCUCAAUGGUAACUUUGGGGGCAACAAGCAGGGUGGAUGGGGAGGACAAGGUGGUCCCGGCAACAAACCAGGCGGCAACUUUGGCCAGGGCAACAAACAGUUUGGUCCCAACAAAGGUGGCCCUGGAGGACCUCCCCGUAAUCAGCAACGACCCAAUAACAUGCGUGGGCCCCAGCAAGAUGGAGGAAAACCAGUCCAAAGGGAGGAACAAAUGUUAGCUAACAAGCUGAAGGACUUGAUGGGUCCUUUGACAGAUUUACCCCAAAUUGAUCAACCAGAAGUGAAGUUCAAUGGAAGAAGCCGCUUGUACAUUGGAAAUCUUACGGGUGAUGUCACUGAAGAGGAAAUUACUGCUCUGUUCUCACCCUUUGGUGAAACAGCUGAAUUAUUUAUUAACAAGGAAAAGAACUUUGGAUUUAUUAAAAUGGAUUAUAGAGUCAAUGCUGAAAGAGCAAAGAGGGAAUUGGAUGGUAAAAUGAGAAAUGGGAGAACACUCAGAGUUAGAUUUGCACCACACAACAGUGCAGUCAGGGUGAAGAAUCUGCCACCAUUUGUGUCAAAUGAGCUAUUAUACAGAGCAUUUGAGAUUUUCGGUAAAAUUGAGAGAGCUUAUGUGAGAGUAGAUGAACGUGGGAAGACACUUGGUGAAGGAGUAGUAGAAUUUGCAAGGAAGCCAAGUGCAUUGGCUGCCAUUCGUAAUUGCACUGAGAAGUGCUUCUUCUUGACCUCAUCACUUCGUCCAGUCAUUGUUGAAAGCUUUGAAGAGCCUGAUGAGUUUGAUGGCUACCCAGAAAAGAAUUUGCCAAAGAAACAUCCAGAGUUUUUGAGGGCGCGUGAGCUCGGACCGCGAUUUUCUGAACCCAGUAGCUUUGAACAUGAGUAUGGCACGAGGUGGAAGCAGCUUCAUGAGCUCCAUCGUCAGAAGGAAGAGGCACUUAAGAAGGAACUAGCCGCAGAAGAGGAAAAGUUGGAAGCACAGAUGGAGUAUGCCAAAUACGAGCACGAGACGGAGCUGCUGCGCGAGCAGCUGCGGCAGCGCGAGCAGGACCGCGAGCGGCAGAAGCGCAGCUGGGAGAUGGCGGAGCGCGCGGCCGACGAGCGGCGCGAGGCCGAGCGCGCGCAGCUGCUGCGCCAGGAGGAGGAGCUCUCGCAGCGCAUGCGCCAGCAGGACGACGAGCUGCGCCGCCGCCAGCAGGAGAACACGCUCUUCGUGCAGGCACAAAGACUCAAUUCCAUGUUGGACCGCCAGGAGCAAGGCAUGUUCGACCAGCAGCAGCCAAUGGAUUGGAGAAUUACACGAAGAACGGAAUAAGAAACCACAAUUGCUUCAGAGAAGACGCCUAGUAUAACCUAUAUCUGAAUUCUGCGGCAUGCUCUUGAGUAACUAACUGGUGUCAGUUUUUAGCUAGGCCACCAGGACGACAUAUUCAGAUGGCCAGGAAAGGAGCUAGCUGCCAUUAACAGGCGAUUGGAUGAUUUGUGCAAGUGCUGAAAUACCGGCGGCAUCCCCGAAAGUGUCCGCGGAAAUUUUCUGUCUAAAUUAUAGGAAUUUAGAUAAAAGAAGGAAAAUGGGGAGAAGUCGUCAAGAAUCAAAAUUUAAUUAAUGUACAUUCUUGCAAUCUUUAUAAACUCUUGUAUAUUUAUGCCAUAACGUAUUUUUUCAUAUAUUUCUAUCAGAUUCGUUAUUGUACCUACGUUAAAAAUAUAUCUGCAGUAAAUCAUAACUGAUGACAAAUAUAAUAAAAGCAAAAGUGUUGAUUGCAUAAUAAUAGGCAAGUUGUAUUAUUUAAAUGAAUAAAUUCAAAUGUCAUAAA